UACGGGGGGGGGCAAGCGUUGUUCGGAAUUACUGGGCGUAAAGGGCUCGUAGGCGGCCAACUAAGUCAGACGUGAAAUCCCUCGGCUUAACCGGGGAACUGCGUCUGAUACUGGAUGGCUUGAGGUUGGGAGAGGGAUGCGGAAUUCCUGGUGUAGCGGUGAAAUGCGCAGAUAUCAGGAGGAACACCAGCGGCGAAGGCGGCGCUCUGGGCCGGUACUGACGCUGAGGAGCGAAAGCGUGGGGAGCAAACAGG
rnacentral:rRNA from 1 species